UUACCAGUUUGUAGUGUUUUCCUGUGUGUCACCUUGUUCCAGCAUUGUUUCCUAGUAGACUUAUAGUGAUUUUUGACCGUGCCUGCCUUACUGUUUUGCCUUCUGCCUGCUCCCUUUGGAUUUUUUUGCCUUGAAGAAUUGACUGCCCGUGUACCGACCUGGACUGUUAUUAAACUCUACCUUUUCCUGAACUCAGCCACGUAGCACAUGAGUUAUUAAUGUCUGUCAGGACCCAGAAUCUUAAAAAGUGGGGAAUCCACUCCCACGCACUCAGCAGCACAAAAACAAUUCACUAGAAAGAUUCAGAUUCAGAUUUGACUCCCUGCAUGUGGC